CAGAUUGAACGCUGGCGGCAGGCCUAACACAUGCAAGUCGAACGGUAGCACAGAGAGCUUGCUCUCGGGUGACGAGUGGCGGACGGGUGAGUAAUGUCUGGGAAACUGCCUGAUGGAGGGGGAUAACUACUGGAAACGGUAGCUAAUACCGCAUAAUGUCGCAAGACCAAAGAGGGGGACCUUCGGGCCUCUUGCCAUCAGAUGUGCCCAGAUGGGAUUAGCUAGUAGGUGGGGUAACGGCUCACCUAGGCGACGAUCCCUAGCUGGUCUGAGAGGAUGACCAGCCACACUGGAACUGAGACACGGUCCAGACUCCUACGGGAGGCAGCAGUGGGGAAUAUUGCACAAUGGGCGCAAGCCUGAUGCAGCCAUGCCGCGUGUAUGAAGAAGGCCUUCGGGUUGUAAAGUACUUUCAGCGGGGAGGAAGGUGUUGUGGUUAAUAACCACAGCAAUUGACGUUACCCGCAGAAGAAGCACCGGCUAACUCCGUGCCAGCAGCCGCGGUAAUACGGAGGGUGCAAGCGUUAAUCGGAAUUACUGGGCGUAAAGCGCACGCAGGCGGUCUGUCAAGUCGGAUGUGAAAUCCCCGGGCUCAACCUGGGAACUGCAUUCGAAACUGGCAGGCUAGAGUCUUGUAGAGGGGGGUAGAAUUCCAGGUGUAGCGGUGAAAUGCGUAGAGAUCUGGAGGAAUACCGGUGGCGAAGGCGGCCCCCUGGACAAAGACUGACGCUCAGGUGCGAAAGCGUGGGGAGCAAACAGGAUUAGAUACCCUGGUAGUCCACGCCGUAAACGAUGUCGAUUUGGAGGUUGUGCCCUUGAGGCGUGGCUUCCGGAGCUAACGCGUUAAAUCGACCGCCUGGGGAGUACGGCCGCAAGGUUAAAACUCAAAUGAAUUGACGGGGGCCCGCACAAGCGGUGGAGCAUGUGGUUUAAUUCGAUGCAACGCGAAGAACCUUACCUGGUCUUGACAUCCACAGAACUUUCCAGAGAUGGAUUGGUGCCUUCGGGAACUGUGAGACAGGUGCUGCAUGGCUGUCGUCAGCUCGUGUUGUGAAAUGUUGGGUUAAGUCCCGCAACGAGCGCAACCCUUAUCCUUUGUUGCCAGCGGUUAGGCCGGGAACUCAAAGGAGACUGCCAGUGAUAAACUGGAGGAAGGUGGGGAUGACGUCAAGUCAUCAUGGCCCUUACGACCAGGGCUACACACGUGCUACAAUGGCGCAUACAAAGAGAAGCGACCUCGCGAGAGCAAGCGGACCUCAUAAAGUGCGUCGUAGUCCGGAUUGGAGUCUGCAACUCGACUCCAUGAAGUCGGAAUCGCUAGUAAUCGUAGAUCAGAAUGCUACGGUGAAUACGUUCCCGGGCCUUGUACACACCGCCCCGUCACACCAUGGGGAGUGGGUUGCAAAAAGAAGUAGGUAGCUUAACCUUUCGGGAGGGCGCUUACCACUUUGUGAUUCAGGACUGGGGUGAAUCU
rnacentral:rRNA from 1 species